rnacentral:rRNA from 1 species
GACAGAGGGUGCGAACGUUGUUCGGAAUUACUGGGCGUAAAGCGUGUGUAGGCGGUCCACUAAGUCGGGUGUGAAAGCCCUGGGCUCAACCCAGGAAGUGCACUCGAAACUGGCGGGCUAGAGUAUCGGAGAGGUUGGUGGAAUUCUCGGUGUAGAGGUGAAAUUCGUAGAUAUCGAGAGGAACACCGGUGGCGAAGGCGGCCAACUGGACGAAUACUGACGCUGAGACACGAAAGCGUGGGGAGCAAACAGG